rnacentral:tRNA from 1 species
AAAAUCCGUCGACUUUAAAAAUCGUGAGGGUUCAAGUCCCUCUAUCCCCAAAAAGCCUAUUUGAUUGACUCCCCAACUAUUUAUCAUUUAUCCUAUCCU